UACGUAGGGUGCGAGCGUUGCCCGGAUUUAUUGGGCAGUAAAGGGCGCGUAGGCGGCUCGGCACGUCCGUUGUGAAAUCGCCCGGCUCAACUGGGCGGGGUCAGCGGAUACGGCGUGGCUGGAGCAAGCUAGGGGGCAAUGGAAUUCCCGGUGUAGUGGUGGAAUGCGUAGAUAUCGGGAGGAACACCAGAGGCGAAGGCGGCGACCUGGACAGCUACUGACACUCAACUACGAAAGCGUGGGGAGCAAACAGG
rnacentral:rRNA from 1 species